GACGAACGCUGGCGGCGUGCUUAACACAUGCAAGUCGAACGAUGAAGCUGGAACUUGCUCCGGUGGAUUAGUGGCGAACGGGUGAGUAACACGUAAGCAAUCUGCCCUUGACCCUGGGAUAACUGCGGGAAACUGUAGCUCAUACCGGAUAUGAGGCUCGAAGGCAUCUUCGGGUCUGGAAAGAAUUUCGGUCAAGGAUGAGCUCGCGGCCUAUCAGCUUGUUGGUGAGGUAAUGGCUCACCAAGGCGACGACGGGUAGCCGGCCUGAGAGGGUGGCCGGCCACACGGGGACUGAGACACGGCCCAGACUCCUACGGGAGGCAGCAGUGGGGAAUAUUGCACAAUGGGCGCAAGCCUGAUGCAGCGACGCCGCGUGAGGGAUGACGGCCUUCGGGUUGUAAACCUCUUUCAGCACCGACGAAGCGCAAGUGACGGUAGGUGCAGAAGAAGGACCGGCCAACUACGUGCCAGCCGCCGCGGUAA
rnacentral:rRNA from 1 species